CGAACGCUGGCGGCAGGCCUAACACAUGCAAGUCGAGCGAGACCUUCGGGUCUAGCGGCGGACGGGUUAGUAACGCGUGGGAAUGUACCCUUCUCUAAGGAAUAGCCACUGGAAACGGUGAGUAAUACCUUAUACGCCCUUCGGGGGAAAGAUUUAUCGGAGAAGGAUCAGCCCGCGUUAGAUUAGAUAGUUGGUGGGGUAAUGGCCUACCAAGUCUACGAUCUAUAGCUGGUUUUAGAGGAUGAUCAGCAACACUGGGACUGAGACACGGCCCAGACUCCUACGGGAGGCAGCAGUGGGGAAUCUUAGACAAUGGGCGCAAGCCUGAUCUAGCCAUGCCGCGUGAGUGAUGAAGGCCUUAGGGUCGUAAAGCUCUUUCGCCAGGGAUGAUAAUGACAGUACCUGGUAAAGAAACCCCGGCUAACUCC
rnacentral:rRNA from 1 species